UGUAGGACACUCAUAUGGGAGUUACAAAAGAACAGGGUAAGUGAAGCGGCCUGGAAAGGCCUGCCGGAGAAGGUAAAAGCCCUGUAACUGAAACUUCGUUCUCUCCCGAGUGGAUCCUGAGUACGGCGGGACACGAGGAAUCCCGCCGGAAUCCGGGAGGACCAUCUCCCAAGGCUAAAUACUCCCUAGUGACCGAUAGUGAACCAGUACCGUGAGGGAAAGGUGAAAAGCACCCCGGGAGGGGAGUGAAAGAGAUCCUGAAACCGUGUGCCUACAAGUAGUCAGAGCCCGUUAACGGGUGAUGGCGUGCCUUUUGUAGAAUGAACCGGCGAGUUACGGUCUCAUGCAAGGUUAAGCUGAAGAAGCGGAGCCGCAGCGAAAGCGAGUCUGAACAGGGCGAAAGAGUAUGAGGCCGCAGACCCGAAACCAGGUGAUCUACCCAUGUCCAGGGUGAAGGCAAGGUAACACUUGCUGGAGGCCCGAACCCACGCACGUUGAAAAGUGCGGGGAUGAGGUGUGGGUAGCGGAGAAAUUCCAAUCGAACUUGGAGAUAGCUGGUUCUCUCCGAAAUAGCUUUAGGGCUAGCCUCAAGCGAAGAGUUUUGGAGGUAGAGCACUGUUUGGACGAGGGGCCCUCAUCGGGUUACCGAAUUCAGACAAACUCCGAAUGCCAAAAACUUAUGCUUGGGAGUCAGACUGUGAGUGAUAAGAUCCAUGGUCGAAAGGGAAACAGCCCAGACCGCCAGCUAAGGUCCCAAAGUAUACGUUAAGUGGAAAAGGAUGUGGCGUUGCUUAGACAACCAGGAUGUUGGCUUAGAAGCAGCCAUCAUUCAAAGAGUGCGUAAUAGCUCACUGGUCGAGUGACG
rnacentral:rRNA from 2 species